rnacentral:rRNA from 1 species
GGCUCAACCUGGGAACUGCAUCUGAUACUGGCAAGCUUGAGUCUCGUAGAGGGGGGUAGAAUUCCAGGUGUAGCGGUGAAAUGCGUAGAGAUCUGGAGGAAUACCGGUGGCGAAGGCGGCCCCAUGGACGAAGACUGACGCUCAGGGGCGAAAGCGUGGGGAGCAAACAGGAUUAGAUACCCUGGUAGUCCACGCCGUAAACGAUGUCGACUUGGAGGUUGUGGCUUCCGGAGCUAACGCGUUAAGUCGACCGCCUGGGGAGUACGGCCGCAAGGUUAAAACUCAAAUGAAUUGACGGGGGCCCGCACAAGCGGUGGAGCAUGUGGUUUAAUUCGAUGCAACGCGAAGAACCUUACCUGGUCUUGACAUCCAGGUGCUGCAUGGCUGUCGUCAGCUCGUGUUGUGAAAUGUUGGGUUAAGUCCCGCAACGAGCGCAACCCUUAUCCUUUGUUGCAACUCAAAGGAGACUGCCAGUGAUAAACUGGGAGGAAGUGGGGAUGACGUCAAGUCAUCAUGGCCC